rnacentral:lncRNA from 10 species
UAUCCAGUUGAUUCCAUUCCAUUCCAUUGCAUUCCAUUCCAUUCCAAUCGGGUUGAUUUCAUUGCACUCCAUUCCAUUCCAUUCCAUUCCAUUCCAAUCCUUUCCAUUCCAUUCCAUUCCUGUCCAUUCCAUUCCAUUGCAUUCCAUUCCUUUCCACUGGUGUAUAUUCCAUUCCACUCCAUUCCAUUGCAUUCCAUUCCAUUCCAUUACAUUACAUUACAUUGCGUUACAUUUCAUUCCACUCGAGUUGAUUCCAUUCCAUUCCGUACCAUUCCAUUCCAUUCCAUUCCAUUCCAUUCCAUUCCAUUCCAUUCGUGUUUAUUCCAUUCCAUCCCAUUCCAUUCCACUCGGAUUGAUUCCAUUCCAUUCCAUUAUAAUCCAUUCCAUUCCAUUCCAUUCCAGUUGAUUCUAAUGCCUUUCACCCCAUUCCAUUCCACUGCAUUCCAUUCCAUUCCAUUCCACUCAGUUUGUUUCCAUUCCAUUCCAUUCCACUCGGGUUGAUUCCUUUCCAUUCCAUUCCAUUCCAUUUCAUUCCAUUCCAUUCCGUGCCUUUCCAUUCCAUUCCAUUCCAUUCCAUUCCACUCGGGUUCAUUCCAUUCCAUUCGUUUUCAUUCCAUUCCAUUCUAUUCCAUUCAUUUCCAUUCAAUUCCAUUCCACUCCACUCGGGUUGAUUCCAUUCCAUUCCAUUCCUUUCCAUUAAAUUCCAUUCCAUUCCAUUACAUUCCAGUUCAUUCCAUUACUUUCCCUUCCAUUCUGUUCCCUUCCAUUCCAUUCCAUUCCAUUCCAUGCCGUUGCAUUGGAAUCGGGUUGAUUCCAAUACAUUCCAUUACAUUCCAUUCCUUUCCAUUCCAUUACAUUCCACUCGGUUUGUUUCCAUUACAUUGAAUUCCAUUCCAU